rnacentral:lncRNA from 1 species
UUUUUUUUGUUUGUUUUUGUUUUUUUUUUGGUGUUCUCUGAGCUUCCUGGACCUCUGAGUUGGUAGAUGACAUUAAUUUGGGAAAUUUUUCAGUUAUUCUUGCUUCAAAUAUUUCUUCUGCUUCUUCCUCUCUUCUUCUGGCAUUCCUAUUAUUCAUAUGUUACAUUAAUGCAUAUGCUUAUAUAGUUGUCCCACAGUUAUUAGAUAUUCUACUGCUUUUUUUUUAAUUCUUUUUUUUUUUUCUGUUUGCUUUUCCCUUGUGGAAAUUUCUGUUGAAAUGACCUUAAAUUCAGAGAUUCUUUCCUCCACUUCAUCCAGUUUACCAAUAAGCCAUCAAAGACAUUCUUUAUUUCUGUUACAGUGUUUCUUUUGGUUCUUUCUUAGAAUUAUCAACUCUUUUCUAAUAUUGCCACCAUUCUUGCAUGCUGUCUAUCUAUCCAUCUGAGCACUUAGUGUAUGAAUCAUAGUUGUUUUAAAUUCCUGGUCUGGUAAGACUGACAUCCCAACUAUAUCUGAGUCGGGGUUUGAUGCUUGCUCUGCCUUUCAAAUGAUGUCUUUUACUUUUCAGUGUCCCUUGUAAUUUUUCUUGAAAGCCAGACAUAAUGUACUGGGUAAAAAGAACAUCUGCAAAUAAACCUUUAGUAAUGUGGCUGUAUAGCAUGGAGGCAAGGGGAACAUUCUAUAACUUUAUGAUUAAAUCUCAGUCUUUUCGUCAGUCUGUGCCUCUUGACUGUGACCUUUACCUGUGUUUCUCAGUCCUUCCCCCGCCCCCAUAAGUGGGAUGGCAUGGCUAGAUCAGGCUGGAGCUGGGUAUUUCCCUUCCGCUAGACCAGUUAGCUUCUGAUAAAACCACUGCAGGCUAGGCUCUGGUUUAACUAUUUUCUCCAGAGGGCUGACCUUGUUAAGAAGAAAAGAAUGGGUUCUUUCCCUUCCCCCUGCCAGAAAUAUUUAUGGCUGAAUCAUUCUGUUGGAUAGCAGAAAUUAACACAGCAUUGUAAAUCAACUAUACUUCAAUAAAAUUAAUUUAAAAAAGAAUUUGGAGGGGAACACUGUAAAGGAACAAAGAUAAGAGUUACACCUGACUUCUUUUCAGAAACCAGGCAAGCAACAACAGAGUAUAGUGAGGUAUUUAAAAUGCUGAGAGGAAAAAAACAACAAACACCCAAACUACAAUGCCCUGUGCAAUUCUAUGCCAUAUGCAAUUAUCCUUCAAAAGUGAAGGAGAAAUAAAACAAAACAAAAACAAAUAAAAGAAAAUAGAAGGAAUUUGUUGCCAGUAGAUCUUCCUUGUGAGAAAUGUUAAAAGGAAUUCUUUGGAGAAAAGAAAAAUCAUAUAGGUAAGAAAUUCAUAUCUACAUAAAGAAAGGAAAGCACAGGAUAAGAAAUAAGUGAAGGCAAAAUAAAAACUUUCACUUGUCUUAUUCUUAAUUGUUUUAACAGAUAACAGUUUAUUCAAAAUAAUAAUAUAUAUGACUAUGUAUGUUCCUGUGUAUAUGAUAGAUGUACAUAUAGAAUGCAUAUGCUUAUGUACAAGUAAAAUGAAUGACAGCACCGAUGCAAAAGAUGGGAGGUAGGUUUUAGGGUUAUUUUGCUAUUGUAAAGCAUCAUAUGACCCAGCAAUUCCACUCUUGGGCAUCUAUCCAGAGAAAACCACAAUUGAAAAAGAUAGAUGCACCCCGAUGUUCAUUGCAGCACUAUUUACAAUAGUCAAGACAUGGAAACAACCUAAGUAUCCACCAACAGAGGAAUGGAUAAAGAAGAAGUGGUACAUAUAUGCAAUGGAAUAUUACACAACCAUAAAAAGAAUGAAAUAAUGCCAUUUGCAGCAACAUGGGUGGACCUAGAGAUUGUUAUAUUAAAUGAAGUUAGACAGUGAUAGACAAACAUCAUAUGAUAUCACUUUUAUAUGGAAGCUAAAAAAAACGAUAGAAAUGAACUUAUUUGCAGAACAGAAAUAGACUCAUGGACUUUGAAGACAAACUUAUGGUUACUAAAGGGGACAAGUGGAUGGGGAGGGAUGGACUGGGGGUUUGGGACUGGCAUGUGCACACUGUGGUAUAUGGAAUGGCUGGCCAACAAGAACCAACUGUAUAGCACUGGGAACUAUAUCCAAUGUUCUGUGAUAAUCUAUAUGGGAAAAGAAUACGAAAAAGAAUGAGUAUGUGUAUUAUAAAACUGAAUCACUUUGUUGGACAGCAGGUAUUAUCACAACAUUGUAAAUCACCUACAAUAAAACUUUAAAAAAUGAAAAAUAAAUAAAGCACAUUACCAAUGAAGGGGUAUAAUGUUAUCUGAAAGUAGACUUAGGUCAAUUGUAAAUGUGUAUUGUACACUCAAGGGCAAUGACUAAAAAAAAAAAAAGGUACUACUAUGCUAAGAAAGAAGAGAAAGUUGAACUAGAAAAUGCUCAAUUAACUUCAAAAGACAGAAAAAUAGUAUAAAAGAAAAAAAAUGCCAAUACAUGCAAAAUAACAACAAAUAUGGCAGAUCAAUCCAAUUGCAUCAAUCAUCACUUUGAAUGUUAAUGGUCUAAAUGUACUAAUUAAAGGAUAGAACUUGUCAAAGUAGAUUAAAAAACAGACCUAACUAUGUGUUGUUUACAGGAAAUGUACUUUAAAAAUAAAGACACAUAUACAUCUAAAGUAAAUAGAGAAAGAUGUACCAUACUAAUAUGAAUCAAAAGAAAGUGAGACUAGCUAUAUUAUUUAUAAUAGAGCAGACUUUAUGAUUUUUUUCUUUUGUCUUUUUAGGGCCAUACCCAUGGCAUACGGAGGUUCCCAGGCUAGGAGGGGUAGAAUUGGAGCUAUAGCUUCUGGAGGAGUAGAAUUGGAGCUACAGCCACAGCAACGCCAGAUCCAAGCCAUGUCCGCGACAUACACCACAGCUCACAGCCAACACUGGAUCCUUAACCCACUGAGCAAGGAUGCAGCGUGUCCGUGAGCUGUGGUGUAGGUCACAUAGGCAGCUCAGAUCCAGCGUUUCUGUGUCUGUGGUGUAGGCUGGCAGCUACAGCUCCACAUGCUAUGGCUGCAGCCCUAGAACAACAACAACAACAACCCCCCCAAAACCUAAAAGAUCUUUAUGGACAGAUAGAUGAAUCCACUAUCAUAGUGGGAGACAUCAGGAUCCCUCUCUCAGAAAUGAGUCCAACAUGCAGAAUACCAUCCAUCAAUGGAUACCCUUGGCACCCAAAGGCCAUUUUACCCACAGUGACAGAACACAUAUUCUUCUCAAGCUCACAUGGAACAUUCACCAAGAUAGAGCACAUUCUUCGGCAUAAAACACACCUUACAAAUUCAAAAUAACUGAAAUUAUACAAUAUUUCUUUCAGAACACAGUAAAAUUAAGCUGGAAAUCAAUAGCUGAAAUAUGGCUAAAAAAAAUCCCCUAACACAUUGCUUAGAAACACAUGGGUUAAAUAAAAAAGUCUCAGGAAAAAUAAAAUAAUAUUUUGAACCAAAUAAAAAUGAAAACAGUGUAUCGAAAUCUGUGGGAUUCGGUGAAAGUGGUGCUUAGAGAGAAAUGUGUAGUCUUUUCCUGAUUUUGAUAUUUGGUACUGAGUGCAGGGAGGGACGGAUGAAUAGAGCAGAGGAUUUUUAAGGCAGUGAACAUUCUCAGUAUGAUACAAUAAUGGUGGAUGAACGUCAGUACACAUUUGAUGUGCAUCAAACCCAUAAAAUGUAACGCCAAGGAUGAACCAUAAGGUAAAGUACGAACUUUGGAUGAUUACCGUGUGUCCAUGUAGGUUCACCCUCGGCAAAAAAAAAAAAAAAAAAAAAAAAAAA